UGGUAACGUAUCGAGACUCUGAAAUGUGUGUGCGCGCUCGAAGUUCUUAUUAUUGUUUCUUUAUUUGUAGCUCUCUAUCCCCAAGUAGGGUUUAGCUAGGGUUUGGCCACUGUUGAGCGGAACCCUAAACUCCAAAGCUGAGGUGCAGCUAUUUUUGUGAAUAAUCAAUGGAGGGAUUGAAGGUAUCUGAUGUGAAUUUGGUGGUACACGUACACCCAUCCAAGUCUAAAAAGGUCUCUGAAGCCAUCCUUCGUGAACUGGGUUCUUUGCUUUUCAAGUUUAGUGAAACUUUUGAUGGUGUGGUAUUGGCAUACGACGUUAACAUCCUCAGUGAUCUGGCAAAGAUUCUUCCUGGGAUUCAUCCUUAUUUUGGUGUGAAGCUAAAAGCAAAACUAUUGCUUUUUUAUCCAAAGCCAGACAUGAUUUUAGAAGGAAAGGUUGUGAAAAUUGGCCAGCAAUCCAUUCAUGUAAUUGUUCUUGGUUUUUCAUCUGCAAUCAUAACAGAGGAAGACAUUCGUGAAGAAUUUGAAUAUAAAGAUAAACAUGGUCUGGAAGUAUUUGCCAGCACAUCUCACAGGCGACACAAGAUAAAAGUUGGAACCGUAAUACGUUUCUUAGUCAAGCGUUUUGAUGAAGAGAUACUCCAUAUUUCGGGAUCUUUGGUUCCAGUUCACACUGGAAAUGUUCAUUGGUUGGAUAAAAAAUUGGAAGAUAGGACGCAUGUCAACAGGACUGCUGAGAAGCGGAGAGAAAGUGAGGGAAGAGUGGAAAUGGAGGAGCAUGAAAAAGUAAUUAAUCAUGGGGAAGUGUUACCCUUGAAGAGCGACCACCCAACUAAGAAGUCAAAGAGACGGAGUAGUGGUGAUGAUUGAAGAUUGCUGCAGAGUCGGAUGCUUCUAACAUGUUUUUUCUUGGUUUACAGGCAGUCAAGGCCAAGAUAUGAUGCAUCAGACAAUGCAGGGUCUGCAAACUUGGUUUCCAUGAGGUGAAUGACAAAAUUCAGGGUCCCACAAGUUUAACGGCCGAAGGUGAAGGUGAAGGUGAAGGUGAGGCGGAAACACAUUUAGUUAGACACGGAUUGUCUUUGGGGGUGGUGGUUAAGUUCCAGAUUUAGGGCACAAAGCCAUAGUUUAAACACAUACACCUAACUUUGUAUGAGAAGAAAAAUGUAACCAUCUGAUUUUUAGUUCUCACUGUAUCCUGUGCGUCUUCUAUGUUUUGAUUCACUGUUUGGUUUUCA